rnacentral:lncRNA from 12 species
UCUGUCCUUUGGCCCUCACCAGGGAAGAAAUGACCUGUCAUUUCAAUCUUUAACAGGAAAAUAUAUACCUAGCCUGAAGUUUGUGAAAAGUGUUUUUUUAGUGGGCAAGAGUGAUGGCUUAUUAUAAUUAAUUCUUUCCUCAAGGCCAUACCUCUAAAAAUAAGAGACAAAGAGUAUUAAGGGGAAUGUAGUUACAAUCAGAGGAGGAUAUGCAUAUUUGGUAGCACCUCUUUACUUAACAUACCUGCUUCUUUCACAGUUCCUGACUUCUCCACUAGUCAAAGCAGAGGGCUCAUUGUUUGCAGGAUCCCGAUGAAGAAUUCAUUAGCAUUCCAUCAUUUCACGACCUGGAAUAAGGCUUGUGGCAGCUGUGCAAAAGGAAAAUAAACACUCCUUUGUGCUGGAGGACUAGCCAGUGGGUCUAUAGAUAAUGAUGGGGUAGCCAUGUACCUUCCAGUAUGCCUACCCUAGCUUUCCCAGCUCAUGGUGGCCAUGUGAGUGUUAAGAGCAGCUUGAUGACCCAUUAUCUAGUUCUGCCUUCUAACUCUGUUGGAGAAUGAGGAGACCCAUCUGUCCUUGCUGUUGCCCUCAUUGGUUCCUCCAGACAUUAGGUCAUCAUUGGUCUGACUGUGACACACAUACUUCAUGCUUUUGUCAUUGGUCUGUCUUUUGAGGAGGAUUCUAUUGAGGAAGAUUAUCAUCUAUGUGUGCAAUUGUGGCUACAAAGUCAGGUAAGUCUUCAACUAUUCUUCCAUAUUGAGUAACCACCUUUCAAUUUUGGGUAAAAAUUCCUG